AGAGUUUGAUCCUGGUUCAGGAUGAACGCUGGCGGCGUGCUUAAUACAUGCAAGUCGAACGAAGCUCCUUAUCUUCGGACGAGGAGUCUUAGUGGCGAACGGGUGCGUAACGCGUUGGUAACCUGCCCCAAAGAGGGGGAUAACAGUUCGAAAGGACUGCUAAUACCCCAUAUGGUCAUCAGGGUUAGAUACUUGAUGAUUAAAGGAGUAAUCCGCUUUGGGAGGGGCCUGCGUCCCAUCAGCUAGUUGGUAGGGUAAUGGCCUACCAAGGCAAUGACGGGUAGGGGACCUGAGAGGGUGGCCCCCCACACUGGCACUGAAAUACGGGCCAGACACCUACGGGUGGCAGCAGUAGGGAAUAUUGGACAAUGGGCGAAAGCCUGAUCCAGCAACGCCGCGUGCACGAUGACGGCCUUCGGGUUGUAAAGUGCUUUUAAGGGAGAUGAGAAAGGACAGUAUCCCUUGAAUAAGCCUCGGCGAACUACGUGCCAGCAGCCGCGGUAAUAC
rnacentral:rRNA from 1 species